AUACGGAGGUUCCGAGCGUUAUCCGGAUUUAUUGGGCUUAAAGGGAGUGUAGGCGGACGCUUAAGUCAGUUGUGAAAGUUUGCGGCUCAACCGUAAAAUUGCAGUUGAUACUGGUUUCCUUGAGUACGGUAUAGGGGGGCGGAAUUCGUGGUGUAGCGGUGAAAUGCUUAGAAAUCACGAAGAACUCCGAUCGCGAAGGCAGCUCACCGGGCCGGAACUGACACUGAUGCUCGAAAGUGCGGGUAUCAAACAGGAUUAGAUACCCUGGUAGUCCGCACAGUAAACGACGAAUACUCGCUGUUUGCGAUACACUGUAAGCGGCCAAGCGAAAGCGUUAAGUAUUCCACCUGGGGAGUACGCCGGCAACGGUGAAACUCAAAGGAAUUGACGGGG
rnacentral:rRNA from 1 species